rnacentral:lncRNA from 1 species
GUUCAUCAACACCUAAAAGAAAAAAUGGAUAUAUGCUGGGUAUAUUGCACACACCUGUAAUCCCAUCUACUGGGAGGCUGAGGUGGGGGGAUUGCAAUUUUGAGGCCAGCCUGGGCAAUUUAUCGAGACCUUGUUUCAAAAUAAAAAAAUAAGAGACCUGGGGAUAUGGUUCAGUGGUAGAACGCUUGCCUAGCAUGUGUGAAGUCCUGGGUUUGAUCCCCAGUACCAUUAAAAAAAAGUAUACAUCAAGUAUGUUUUGCUGAAAUAAUAUUUCUUAAGAAACAAUGAGCUACCUAAUUUGUUAGUUUUUCUUCUCCCUUUGCAACAUUUGGCGCUUCUUUGGGAUCUUACAUUUUACUUCAUUACUCUAAAUGGAGUAAGUUGAAGUUUCUUUUAUUCUAAAAAAACAUGGACUCUGAAAAAAAUUAUGUCAUUGAAAAGAUUCUUUAAUUUUUUUUUUUUCUCAGUUGUAGGCUGACUAGGGAUCUUUAGGAACACUUAAACAAUAGUUACUGUGUGUUAGUUUAUGGCUUCCAUUGUGUUAUUUAUACAAGAAGGAAGUACUGGUUUAGUUCCAUUUUUAUGGAUGAAGAAUUUGAAGAACAGACGGGUUAAAAGUAAGAAAAGCUGAGGGGACAAAAACAAAGUUGGAGGUAGGUUUUGGAGAACAUAGUGU